rnacentral:rRNA from 1 species
UACGUAGGGUGCAAGCGUUAAUCGGAAUUACUGGGCGUAAAGCGUACGCAGGCGGCUAUGUAAGACAGGUGUGAAAUCCCCGGGCUUAACCUGGGAACUGCAUCUGUGACUGCACGGCUAGAGUGUGUCAGAGGGGGGUAGAAUUCCACGUGUAGCAGUGAAAUGCGUAGAUAUGUGGAGGAAUACCGAUGGCGAAGGCAGCCCCCUGGGAUAACACUGACGCUCAUGCACGAAAGCGUGGGGAGCAAACAGG